ACAAUUAUGCCCAUAUAUUACAUUAAAAUAUAGCAUAUUUUAAUAAGUGCUAUUGUCGCAUGGUAAUAGAAAAAGACACGGAAAAUGGGCGGUAAAUGAAAUACACAGGCGCCAAAUGAAACACAAAAGCAAUAAUCCCUAAUUACUCUACACGCCUCCUAUGUUUCUCUCUCACACUCAGUAACUCUCUCUCUCUCUCUCACUCGUUCAAUCUUUCUUUCUUUCUCUCUGUUUGUUGCAGGUAUGUAACAAGGUGAUGGGGCCUGCGGCUUCGGUCGUGUGACAGGGAGGCUCGACUCUUGGGUCUACGGCGUGGCUGGCUCGUGGGUGUGACGGUGCUUGCGGCGGUGGGUCUACGGCGUGGCGUGGCUCGACUCGUGUGGCUCGACUCGUGGGUCUACCAUAGAGAUUGACUUGCAGAGCAAUGGUCCAGCAGGCUCUACAGGGAGGAGCUCCAGCUGCUUACGCCCAAGAAAUGGAGAGGCUAACCGCUAAAGAAUCCCUUCUUCUUGCUGUUAUAUGCCUUCAGAUCUGUACAAUUUAAACUCAGCAUAUGGUUCUGAGGAGGAACUUAAACACUGCAUUGAAGAAAUGCAUUCUCAAGACCUUUUGGCCUUGGGAGAUGUUGUGCUGAAUCAUCGGUGUGCACAUAAACAGAGCCCAAAUGGUGUUUGGAACAUUUUUGGAGGCAAGCUUUCUUGGGGUCCUGAGGCAAUUGUUUGCGAUGAUCCAAAUUUUCAGGGUCGUGGAAACCCUUCUAGUGGUGAUAUAUUCCAUGCUGCACCAAACAUUGAUCAUUCCCAGGAGUUUGUAAGAAAAGAUAUAAAGAGUGGUUAAAUUGGCUUCGAAAUUACAUUGGUUAUGAUGGGUGGCGCCUCGACUUUGUGAGGUUCUUAUGUAAAAGAAUAUAUUGAAGCUUCAAAUCCUGCAUUUGCUAUUGGAGAAUAUUGGGAUAGUUUAGGUUAUGAGCAUGGCAACUUGUGUUACAAUCAAGAUGCUCAUAGGCAAAGGAUAGUCAAUUGGAUCA